CAGCUGCCAAUGAGAAGCCAGUCCUGGCCAAUACUUUGAUUUUAACCCAGUGAGACGUUAAGAAGAGAACCAAGCCAUACCAUUCCAGACAUCUGACCUAGAGAAACAGUGAGGCUUGUGUAAAACUGCUACAUGUGUGAUAAUUGGUUACACAUCAACACAAAAGUAACACAGUCAGUACAGAAAGGAUCAGAGUAAUAGCUACUAAAGAAGAGCAGGGUGGGGAAGAGUAUGCCAACACUUUCAGCGAUUUAGAGGUGUUUGGAAUGGACAAGGGAGCUUCCCUGGUGGCUUAGUCUGUAAAGAGUUCGCCUGCAGUGCAGGAGACUGGGGUUCCAUCUCUGGGUCUGGAAGAUCCCCUGGAGAAGGAAAUGGAAUGUGUGAGGAGAAGAGAGAAGAGACUGAAAGACGAGAUGAGGUGAGUCUGAUCGUGAAGAGCAUUGUAAGCCAGGAGACUAUUUUCCAAGAGCAAAGGGAAGCAGUGAACUGUUUAACAGAGCUUGCUGUUUAACUGUUUAACAGAGCUCCAUAAACAUGGAGCAUGAGGAACACGGCACAGCCUGGGACCAGGCAUUCAGGAUCCCCGGCUUCGUCAGUCAGGGAAGCCGGCGAGCAGGAAGAGUGGCUUGAGGGUGCCGAGCCCCAGACGCUGACCAACAUCUGCUUGCUUGUUCUUUCUCAUCUCAGUUACUCACAGCACCAGCUACGUGAAUUUUUAGGACUUCAAGGCCAACAGACAGCAUCUCAAGUAAUCCCGAGAGAAUUGCUCCGAGGAACGGCAGGUGGGAAGUAAGGGGUCAGGUUAUAUAAAAGAAGUGAAGUGAAGUGGUGUCUGACUCUUUGUGCCCCCAUGGACUGUAGCCUAACAGGAUUCUCCAUCCAUGCGAUUUUCCAGGCAAGAGUACUGGAGUGGGUUGCCAUUUCCUCCUCCAGGGUAUCUUCCUGACCCAGGGAUCGAACCCAAGUCUCCCGCAUUGUAGGCAAACGCUUUACCGUCUGAGCCAGAAGUUAGUAACAAAGGACUGGUAGCCUGAACAUCAAGAGACUGUUGUGAAUUAAAGAAACCUAGAUAUCUCAAGUUAAGGAGUUUAGCACUUUUUUAUGUGUGAGAAGAUGCAGGAGUCUGCUCCCUGAAAUCAUUGCUUUCAUCAUCUCAGCUGGGUAUUUGUUUGGACUGCACUUCUAUAAGCUAGGUCUUGUUCUGGGAGGGGCUGAAAUUGCCUGAGGGAGGCUGUGUGGGUGGAGUAAGAAAAUCUGAAUGGGAUUCCUACCUUGAUGAGCGGGUAAAUGCAACUUUUGACUCCAUCUCAUAUCUGAACAAAGAGAUCAUGUGACUUGCCCAUGACCGCUGGGAAACGAAUAUCUAGCCAGGAGACCUGAAUCCACUUGCAAUAAGGAAGAUAAAGUUAAAAAAAAAAACAAAACAGAAAACGUGCUGUAGCAAGUUACAGCAUAAUUUGAAGAAGCUUAUCAACCUUAUCAAGUCAAAGCUAUGGUUUUUCCAGUAGUCAUGUACAGAUGUCAGAACUGGACCAUAAAGAAGGCUGAGUGCUAAAGAAGGCUGAUGCUUUUGAACUGUGUUGUUAGAAAAGACUCUUGAGAGUCCCUUGGACAGCAAGGAGAUCAAACCAGUGCAUCCUUAAGGAAAUCAACCCUGAAUAUUCAUUGGAAGGACUGAUGCUGAAGCUGAAGUUCCAGCACUUUGGCCACCUCAUGCGAAGAGCUGACUCAUUGGAAAAGACCCUGAUGCUGGGAAAGAUUGAGGGCAGGGGAGAAGAGGGUGACAGAGGAUGAGAUGGUUGGAUGGGACCAUCGACUCAAUGGAUAUGAGUUUGAGGAAACUCUAGGAGAUAGUGAAGGACAGGGAAGCCUGGCGUGCAGGAAUCCAUGGGGUCACCAAGAAUUGGACAUGACUGAGCAACUGAACAACAAAAAAAAUCAAAGGAACCCCACAUUGGGAGAACUUCUGGUUGCACACAACUCUGAGCCUCUCCUGAUAAAUAGCCCAGCAGGUGUCUCACCGCUUUGAGUUACGUGUGGUUUGCCCAUCUGCGCAGCGUGAGUGACCCAGACAGCAGAAGGACGGGCCUUGUUUCUCAGUGUACGGUCUUGGCAAUUUCUUGGCCCUUGUCCAAGUCACCAGACACACUCUCCAUCAUUACCAUUAACAGCAACGUGUUACAAUGCAGCCAUUACCACUCAUCUACGCCAGCGCCUGAGUUGAUGAGUUGAGAGGAGAGGAGGACAGAAAGGGGAAAUCUAAAGGCAAGGUGCGGUGGGGGCGGGAGACAGCUUCUCCUUUUCUGCCCUUUCUCCAAAAACUUCCCUAGUUUUAUUUCCCAUUUGCUCAGCCGUGUGUUCUCACACUCUCCUUUACCUUGAGAGCUGACUGUUGGACGCGCACAAGAGAAGAACAUGAAGGCCUCCAGAUAAAGUAGACACGGAAUCAACACAGGGUUCCAGUCACUCGUUUUCUUUGACGGGGCUUUACCAGGCUGGAUGGAAGAAGAAAAGACAGCCAGGAAAGCGGGAGUUAUAAAUCAGCUCUGUGCUCUUCCGAGGAUUUAUAUUCAACUGAAGACGUGUCCAAUGCAGGACCUUAUGGCUUUCUGUUUUCUUUUUGCUUACAUGGAGAAAUAACAGUUAAUAUAGUCAACUAUCCCAAGGCAGAAGAGUAUUAUUAAAAAAAGAAUACUUUGCAAUAUUAUUGAUUUCUCAAGUAACUGUGAG
ensembl:lncRNA